rnacentral:lncRNA from 1 species
CACCAAUUCUGUUCUCCUUAUCUGGCAAACACCCAGAGGGAACAGAAGUUCAUAUGAAUUAGAAGUUUUAGGCAAUUCAUCAUCCAUUGUGAGCCUUCAUUCUCUUGAUACAUCUUACCUUGUGGAUCAGUUAAUACCUGGGAACUUUUACACAUUCAAUAUCUAUGCCAAAGCUGGAAACGGUUUGACUGGGGGCAUCGCAGAAAACUAUACAUUCACAGGUAAAUAUAGAAUAGCAUGUUGAUAUCUGAUGAUAAAAAUUGAAAAGAAAAAUGAUAGCUAAAUAAUUAACUUUCAUAAGAUAAAAAUAAACUACAUGUAAGUUGAAAGGAACAUUCAUUUGGCAAAUAUAUACUAAUAAGUUUAAGGUGACAGCAGAAUUAAUUAGUUAGAUUUGACCAUACAUUAACUAUACUAAUUUGACAAUGUGAGAUUUUAAAGCAACUGUCGUACAUCCGUUAUUUUUCACAUUGAUAAAUCCAGGUCAAGUUUCUUGAAGGCAAAAUCUUUUGCCAUUUGCCAAGAAAGUGUUGCAAUGGGAUAUGAGCUGCAAUGCAAUGUUUCUGAUGGUUACUGUUACUUACAAUCAAGGUGUUCAGUGUUUCUAUAAUAUGUGAAUCAUUGUUGUCUUGUGUAUAUUUUUUAUAAAUAUAUAUAUGGUCAAAGACAAAACUAAUAUUUCAAUAUUUUUUGUCUAUGUCAUUUUUCAUUGCACAUUAUUUCUAUAUUCUAGUUCCUGCUGCAGUGGAGAAUGUGAUCAUAGCGAAUAUCACCACCAAUUCAGUUCUCCUGAUCUGGCAAACACCUGAAGGGAACAGAAGUUCAUAUGAAUUAGAAGUUUUAGGCAAUUCAUCAUCCGUUGUGAGCCUUACUACCUUUGAUACAUCUUACCUUGUGGACCAUUUAAUACCUGGGAACUUUUACACAUUCAAUAUCUAUGCCAAAGCUGGAAACGGUUUGACUGGGGG